GGUAGAGGAAUUGGUCAACUCAUCAGGCUCAUGACCUGAAGACUGCAGGUUCGAAUCCUGUCCCCGCCU
rnacentral:tRNA from 1 species